AUUGAACGCUGGCGGCAGGCAUAAUACAUGCAAGUCGAACGAGUGGCGGACGGGUGAGUAAUGUCUGGGAAACUGUCCGAUGGAGGGGGAUAACUACUGGAAACGGUAGCUAAUACCGCAUACCUUCGGGUGUGCCCUGUAGGGAUUAGCUAGUAGGUGGGGUAAUGGCUCACCUUGGCGACGAUCCCUAGCUGGUCUGAGCGGAUGACCAGCCACACUGGAACUGAGAAACGGUCCAGACUCCUACGGGAGGCAGCAGUGGGGAAUAUUGCCCAAUGGGCGCAAGCCUGAUGCAGCCAUGCCGCGUGUAUGAAGAAGGCCUUCGGGUUGUAAAGUACUUUCAGCGGGGAGGCGUUACCCGCAGAAGAAGCACCGGCUAACUCCGUGCCAGCAGCCGCGGUAAUAC
rnacentral:rRNA from 1 species